rnacentral:rRNA from 1 species
AUUGAACGCUGGCGGCAGGCCUAACACAUGCAAGUCGAGCGGAUGAAGGGAGCUUGCUCCUGGAUUCAGCGGCGGACGGGUGAGUAAUGCCUAGGAAUCUGCCUGGUAGUGGGGGAUAACGUCCGGAAACGGGCGCUAAUACCGCAUACGUCCUGAGGGAGAAAGUGGGGGAUCUUCGGACCUCACGCUAUCAGAUGAGCCUAGGUCGGAUUAGCUAGUUGGUGGGGUAAAGGCCUACCAAGGCGACGAUCCGUAACUGGUCUGAGAGGAUGAUCAGUCACACUGGAACGGAGACACGGUCCAGACUCCUACGGGAGGCAGCAGUGGGGAAUAUUAGACAAUGGGCGAAAGCCUGAUCCAGCCAUGCCGCGUGUGUGAAGAAGGUCUUCGGAUUGUAAAGCACUUUAAGUUGGGAGGAAGGGCAGUAAGUUAAUACCUUGCUGUUUUGACGGUACCAACAGAAUAAGCACCGGCUAACUUCGUG